rnacentral:tRNA from 1 species
GCCACCGUAGCUCAGAUGGCCGGAGCGGCUGCCUCGUAAGCAGCAGGUCGGGGGUUUGAAUCCCUCCGGUGGCU